UACGAAGGGGGCUAGCGUUGUUCGGAAUCACUGGGCGUAAAGGGCGCGUAGGCGGCUGUUCAAGUCGGGGGUGAAAUCCCGUGGCUCAACCACGGAAUGGCCUUCGAUACUGGACGGCUGGAGACCGGAAGAGGUGAGUGGAACUGCGAGUGUAGAGGUGAAAUUCGUAGAUAUUAGGAAGAACACCAGUGGCGAAGGCGGCUCACUGGGACGGUAUUGACGCUGAGACGCGAAAGCGUGGGGAGCAAACAGG
rnacentral:rRNA from 1 species